rnacentral:rRNA from 1 species
GACGAACGCUGGCGGCGUGCUUAACACAUGCAAGUCGAACGGAAAGGCCCUGCUUUUGUGGGGUGCUCGAGUGGCGAACGGGUGAGUAACACGUGAGUAACCUGCCCUUGACUUUGGGAUAACUUCAGGAAACUGGGGCUAAUACCGGAUAGGAGCUCCUGCUGCAUGGUGGGGGUUGGAAAGUUUCGGCGGUUGGGGAUGGACUCGCGGCUUAUCAGCUUGUUGGUGGGGUAGAGGCUUACCAAGGCUUUGACGGGUAGCCGGCCUGAGGGGGUGACCGGCCACAUUGGGACUGAGAUACGGCCAAGACUCCUACGGGAGGCAGCAGUGGGGAAUAUUGCACAAUGGGCGGAAGCCUGAUGCAGCAACGCCGCGUGCGGGAUGACGGCCUUCGGGUUGUAAACCGCUUUCGCCUGUGACGAAGCGUGAGUGACGGUAAUGGGUAAAGAAGCACCGGCUAACUACGUG